rnacentral:snRNA from 1 species
AUCGUUUCUCGGCCUUUUGGCCAAGAUCAAGUGUAGUAUCUGUUCUUAUCAGUUUAAGGGAGCGCUAGUCAGCGAUUUCGUAGACUCUCCCUCAAUUGGGGUUUGGAGGAUAUCUCUCAGUUGAGAAUCUCAAAUGAUUUUCUCAUGAUUAGACUGGGGUUAUGCGUU